rnacentral:lncRNA from 1 species
UAAAAUAGUCUUGUUGGAGUUGUGUGAGGUUGAAUAACUAUAGUUGUGAUAUUUGAUUCAAUAAAAAGUUGGCAGAAUAAAAGAAAAAAAAAUUGAAAAAGAAAAAAAUUGAAAAAAAAAUUGAAAAAGAAAAUAAGGAUGUCAUUACAUAUUCCUUAUGAUCUGAAGAAGAAGAAAAAAGAAUAAAAAGAUAAAAGAGAAGAAAAAUAGUUGAGAAGUUAUUGUUUUAAAGUUAACGAAAUAUUUUUACUUCAAC